rnacentral:rRNA from 1 species
GUAGGUGGCAAGCGUUGUCCGGAAUUAUUGGGCGUAAAGCGCGCGCAGGCGGUUCUUUAAGUCUGAUGUGAAAGCCCACGGCUCAACCGUGGAGGGUCAUUGGAAACUGGAGAACUUGAGUACAGAAGAGAAAAGCGGAAUUUCACGUGUAGCGGUGAAAUGCGUAGAGAUGUGGAGGAACACCAGUGGCGAAGGCGGCUUUCUGGUCUGUAACUGACGCUGAGGCGCGAAAGCGUGGGGGAGCAAACAGGACUAGAUACCCUGGUAGUCCACGCCGUAAACGAUGAGUGCUAAGUGUUAGGGGGUUUUCCGCCCCUUAGUGCUGCAGCUAACGCAUUAAGCACUCCGCCUGGGAGUACGGCCGCAAGGCUG